AUUCGUUGAUAAAACAGAGAUCAAUAAAAAAUAAAGAUGCGUAUCACUUUAUAUCACGAUAUAUUAUCACAGGUCGGUAUUUUUCUUCUUUUUUUCUUACAUAGGGAUUACAUUAACGUUUACGAUAACGUUAUGCGUAUUAUUAAAAUAUGCAUCAAAAAUUAAGAACUAAAUAAAUGAUAUAGUCGUAUAAUCGAUUAUAUAUAAUCUUGAUAAAUAAUUCAAGAAAUAGUACAUGAAAAAUUAUAUACGUAAUAAUUAUGUACGUAAAGUGUAUUUACUCUUUUGUAACUGCUAUUAACAAAAUACUUUCGAAAAAUUACCCCUCGAUUAAUAUUAAUAGCAAUCGAAGAAUUCUUCACCGAGAUCAAAUAUUUGCAUUCUUUCAAGUAUGCUAGUAUUUUCUUCAUAUUUUGUUUUCACUUGUCGGAGUGUGUUCUGCGAUCUUUGAUGUACCAAAAUGAAGACUGUUCCUAUUUGAUCGAUAGCUGUAUAUUUAUAAUCGAUUAGAGGAAUCGCUUUUUCUUUAGUGAGUUCUUUACGGUGAAAUUAGCAGAGAUCGAUCUUUUUCGUUCAACGUGAAUUGUGUAAAAAGGAUUUUUCUGUGUUGGUAUUGGUCUUGAAUCCUUGUAUUCGCGUCCGUUUGGUGAUCCUCCAACGGUAAUAUUCAUGUUUUCGUAAUUCUCAAAUUAAGAACAUAGUGUUUAAAAUAAGGAAACUCAAAGAAUGAAGGGGCCCGGACUCUUACAAAUUUUUGGGACCUUAUCUGCAUUAUACAAGCGACUAUCAAGACAUACGUAUAAUCCAAAGUAGUCGCAAAUAUAAAAAUAAAAAUUUCAUCAAAAGUAUAAGGGCCGUCGGUCAUUGUAAAAAAAGAAGAGUUAAAGGAACUUACCGCUUCUCGAAGAGACGAUUUAACGCUAAGGAAGAAUAAGAAAAUUAUGUCACUGCAAAAACCUGUUACGUUCCUUAUAAAGCCGUGCAAACGUCUCUAGUAAUAUUGAACGACAAAGACGUGCUCAUUAAACACGUUAUACGCAAGCGACUUUGUGUCAGCUUUUAUUAAUUGAACAUUAAAUACCAGACUGAUGUGACGACAUCUAACUGCAUAGAAGUUUGUCGAUUUCAACAUGUCCAAUCAACUGUAAAAUUUGCAGUGUAACUUAAUCUCGAUAGACGCAGGUCACGAUCACAAACCAUUAAUUACGUAGGAAUUAAUUUCGCAUAUUUAAAGUAAAAAGUAGCUCUGACAUUUUAUAUCUAUAACAAGAAUUAUACCGAAGGAAACGUUGUACAAAUAAAACAAAUAGAAUGCACAUUUUUCAAAUAUAUUUUACAAAAUGUUCUAUUCGUACAGCAUAUAAAACAAUACUCUGUAUUUAUUUUAUAUUCACACAUUAGCUCUAUACGACUGUACCACGAUAUUCCCUCGUUAUACGUAGAAUAUAACUUUAUACAGUAUUCGGCGGGAGUUAA